AUAAAUAAUCCCAUUUAAUUUUGUCUUGGGGAAACAAAAUCGAAAACAUUUACAGUUAUACAGGUCUUUCAUUUUUUUUUUUUUUUGCAACUGAUAUUUACUUUACAAAAAACGGUGUGUGUAAUCGUGUGUAAUAAUCUAACGACAUUGAAUUUGAUUGACUCUGAUUUCUAAAUCGACAUUAUUGGUGUGGACCAGUUUCAGGGAAACCAUCUCUUCCGACGGCGAAAACUCGUACGAUGCUACAUCGACAAGGAAUAAGUUAUAAUCAGAAUUUCAGCACUGUUUCAAUAAUGUCGGUAUACAUUUUUGUAUUAUAUAUUUACUUACUCUUGCGACCUGUCAUAUUUCCACAUAGUUGUUUCCCGCCAACAUCAAGGUAGUUUGAUUCACAAUUAGUUUCAUCGGUGAUAUCGAAAU